ensembl:snoRNA SNORA27 small nucleolar RNA, H/ACA box 27
GUUCCCCGUUUCACUUUACCAAUAAGACAAAUUUGGUGUCUUUUUAUUGGUCAUUCAAGUGGGGUAAAGUAUACUCCUUUUAAAAACCCAGACAAAUGAUUGUAUUUGACUUGGUUCCUGUCAGAGGAAAUAGUA